AGAGUUUGAUCAUGGCUCAGAUUGAACGCUAGCGGGAUGCCUUACACAUGCAAGUCGAACGGCAGCGUGGUCUUCGGACUGACGGCGAGUGGCGAACGGGUGAGUAAUGUAUUGGAACGUACCCAGUAGCGGGGGAUAACUACGCGAAAGCGUAGCUAAUACCGCAUACGCCCUGAGGGGGAAAGCGGGGGAUCUUCGGACCUCGCACUAUUGGAGCGGCCAAUAUCGGAUUAGCUAGUUGGUGGGGUAAAGGCCUACCAAGGCGACGAUCCGUAGCUGGUUUGAGAGGACGACCAGCCACACUGGGACUGAGACACGGCCCAGACUCCUACGGGAGGCAGCAGUGGGGAAUUUUGGACAAUGGGGGCAACCCUGAUCCAGCCAUCCCGCGUGUGCGAUGAAGGCCUUCGGGUUGUAAAGCACUUUUGGCAGGAAAGAAAAGGGCCUGGUUAAUACCUGGGUCAAAUGACGGUACCU
rnacentral:rRNA from 1 species